rnacentral:rRNA from 1 species
GUGUGUUCCAGGUAAAUCCGGUUCACUUUAACACUGAGGCGUGACGACGAGGCACUACGGUGCUGAAGCAACAAAUGCCCUGCUUCCAGGAAAAGCCUCUAAGCAUCAGGUAACAUCAAAUCGUACCCCAAACCGACACAGGUGGUCAGGUAGAGAAUACCAAGGCGCUUGAGAGAACUCGGGUGAAGGAACUAGGCAAAAUGGUGCCGUAACUUCGGGAGAAGGCACGCUGACAUGUAGGUGAAGUGAUUUACUCAUGGAGCUGAAGUCAGUCGAAGAUACCAGCUGGCUGCAACUGUUUAUUAAAAACACAGCACUGUGCAAACACGAAAGUGGACGUAUACGGUGUGACGCCUGCCCGGUGCCGGAAGGUUAAUUGAUGGGGUCAGCGCAAGCGAAGCUCCUGAUCGAAGCCCCGGUAAACGGCGGCCGUAACUAUAACGGUCCUAAGGUAGCGAAAUUCCUUGUCGGGUAAGUUCCGACCUGCACGAAUGGCGUAAUGAUGGCCAGGCUGUCUCCACCCGAGACUCAGUGAAAUUGAACUCGCUGUGAAGAUGCAGUGUACCCGCGGCAAGACGGAAAGACCCCGUGAACCUUUACUAUAGCUUGACACUGAACAUUGAGCCUUGAUGUGUAGGAUAGGUGGGAGGCUUUGAAGUGUGGACGCCAGUCUGCAUGGAGCCGACCUUGAAAUACCACCCUUUAAUGUUUGAUGUUCUAACGUGGACCCGUGAUCCGGGUUGCGGACAGUGUCUGGUGGGUAGUUUGACUGGGGCGGUCUCCUCCUAAAGAGUAACGGAGGAGCACGAAGGUUGGCUAAUCCUGGUCGGACAUCAGGAGGUUAGUGCAAUGGCAUAAGCCAGCUUGACUGCGAGCGUGACGGCGCGAGCAGGUGCGAAAGCAGGUCAUAGUGAUCCGGUGGUUCUGAAUGGAAGGGCCAUCGCUCAACGGAUAAAAGGUACUCCGGGGAUAACAGGCUGAUACCGCCCAAGAGUUCAUAUCGACGGCGGUGUUUGGCACCUCGAUGUCGGCUCAUCACAUCCUGGGGCUGAAGUAGGUCCCAAGGGUAUGGCUGUUCGCCAUUUAAAGUGGUACGCGAGCUGGGUUUAGAACGUCGUGAGACAGUUCGGUCCCUAUCUGCCGUGGGCGCUGGAGAACUGAGGGGGGCUGCUCCUAGUACGAGAGGACCGGAGUGGACGCAUCACUGGUGUUCGGGUUGUCAUGCCAAUGGCACUGCCCGGUAGCUAAAUGCGGAAGAGAUAAGUGCUGAAAGCAUCUAAGCACGAAACUUGCCCCGA